GCCUAUAUGAAGUCGGAAUUGCUAGUAAUCGCAGAUCAGCAUGCUGCGGUGAAUACGUUCCCGGGCCUUGUACACACCGCCCGUCACACCAUGAGAGUCGAUAACACCCGAAGCCUGUAGUCUAACCAUAAGGGGGACGCAGUCGAAGGUGGGAUUGAUAAUUAGGGUGAAGUCGUAACAAGGUAAC
rnacentral:rRNA from 1 species